rnacentral:rRNA from 1 species
CAUCAGAACUCCGCAGUUAAGCGUGCUUGGGCUAGAGUAGUACUGGGACGGGUGACCUCCCGGGAAGUCCUAGUGUUGCACCCU